rnacentral:rRNA from 1 species
UACGUAGGGUGCAAGCGUUGUCCGGAAUUAUUGGGCGUAAAGAGCUCGUAGGCGGUCUGUCGCGUCUGCUGUGGAAUCCCGAGGCUCAACCUCGGGCUUGCAGUGGGUACGGGCAGGCUAGAGUGCGGUAGGGGAGAAUGGAACUCCUGGUGUAGCGGUGGAAUGCGCAGAUAUCAGGAAGAACACCGAUGGCGAAGGCAGUUCUCUGGGCCGUAACUGACGCUGAGGAGCGAAAGCGUGGGGAGCGAACAGG